AUGGGAAGUCAUGACACAACCCAAAUUUAUGGGAGGUAUGGGUUUUGUGAUAUUGAGCUUUUUAACCUUGCUUUGCUUGCACGUCAAGCGUGGCGUCUUCUACAGGACCCUACUUCUCUAAGUGUCCGGAUCCUCAAGGCCGUCUAUUACCCUACACACCUACUUGAGGCGGAAUUGGGUAAUAAUCCCUCGCAGGGACUUAUAAAACGUAUCAGCAACGGGGAAGAUACCAAUAUUUGGCUUGAUAAUUGGCUUCCUAGGGAUCACAUGUUGCGGCCAAUUUGUUGCAAGUCUUUGAACCCACCACAGAAAGUUACAGAUCUUAUUGAUCACAGUACCGCUUCAUGGGAUGUAGCAAAGCUUGAUGAACACUUUCUUGACAUGGACAAGGAGAUAAUUAUGAAUAUCCCUCUCAGCUCGAGAGUACAGGACUUUUGGUCAUGGCAUUAUGAAAACAGAGGGCACUUUACUGUGAGAUCUGCUUACAGAUUGCUUUCAGCAACAAAAAAACAGCGAACCGACUGGCUAGAGCAUGUACCGGGCCAUUCCCGUGUGGAUGCCGGCCGGAACUCAUGGAAGAAGUUGUGGGGCAUGAAUGUACCAUCAAAAAUCAAAGUCUUUGCUUGGCGGCUCGCUCAAACGUCUCUCCCCACGGGUGAUGUCCGGUAUCACAGGAAGAUGGCAGAUAAGGCGGUAUGCUCUAUAUGCAACUCAUCUUUUGACUCAUGGCGACAUUCCCUCUUUGAUUGUCGGAUGGCUAGAUGUGUGUGGGCUUUAGCGGAUGACGAGCUAAUGGAAGUGAUCAUUUCAAACCGUAUAGAGGACGCAAACUAUGGAUGUUCUGGCUUUUGGACACGGUCCCUUCGGACAUUAUCACGCGUAUGCUGGUGA
rnacentral:rRNA from 1 species